rnacentral:rRNA from 1 species
ACGGAAGGCAGCAGUGGGGAAUAUUGGGCAAUGGGCGAAAGCCUGACCCAGCAACGCCGCGUGAAGGAAGAAGGCCUUCGGGUUGUAAACUUCUUUUGUCAGGGACGAAGGACGUGACGGUACCUGACGAAUAAGCAACGGCUAACUACGUGCCAGCAGCCGCGGUAAUACGUAGGUUGCAAGCGUUGUCCGGAUUUACUGGGUGUAAAGGGCGUGUAGGCGGAGCUGCAAGUCAGAUGUGAAAUCCCGGGGCUCAACCCCGGAACUGCAUUUGAAACUGUAGCCCUUGAGUAUCGGAGGGGAAAGUGGAAUUCCUGGUGUAGCGGUGAAAUGCGUAGAUAUCAGGAGGAACACCGGUGGCGAAGGCGACUUUCUGGACUGUAACUGACACUGAGGUACGAAAGCGUGGGGAGCAAACAGGAUUAGAUACCCUGGUA